GACGAACGCUGGCGGCGUGCUUAACACAUGCAAGUCGAACGGAAAGGCCCUGCUUUUGUGGGGUGCUCGAGUGGCGAACGGGUGAGUAACACGUGAGUAACCUGCCCUUGACUUUGGGAUAACUUCAGGAAACUGGGGCUAAUACCGGAUAGGAGCUCCUGCUGCAUGGUGGGGGUUGGAAAGUUUCGGCGGUUGGGGAUGGACUCGCGGCUUAUCAGCUUGUUGGUGGGGUAGUGGCUUACCAAGGCUUUGACGGGUAGCCGGCCUGAGAGGGUGACCGGCCAAAAUGGGACUGAGGAACGGCCCAGAAUCCUACGGGAGGCAGCAGUGGGGAAUAUUGCACAAUGGGCGGAAGCCUGAUGCAGCAACGCCGCGUGCGGGAUGACGGCCUUCGGGUUGUAAACCGCUUUCGCCUGUGACGAAGCGUGAGUGACGGUAAUGGGUAAAGAAGCACCGGCUAACUACGUG
rnacentral:rRNA from 1 species